GGUCCCGUAGUGCAGUCUGGAGUGCACGCCGCCCUGUCAAGGCGGAGGUCGCGGGUUCGAAUCCCGUCGGGACCG
rnacentral:tRNA from 1 species